UUUCUAACCAGUUCACCUUUGGUCGUUGAAUAACCUAAAUCAAUGAGAAAGGACAAAAAUAAUCAAUAAACUUGAAUACAAUAAGAGUCCAGAUUAAAAUAGCAAGACCAUUAAAAUAAAAUUAAAAUGGCCAAUUAUUAAAAGUAAACAUGUCUCAUUUUUCCCGCAAAAGAUUGAGGGUUCAUUACAUAAUUACAAAUCUUCACUGAUCGCCCAUUACAAACCCUUUUUUUAUUUCCACUUUAAUGUCUUUUUUAUUAAUCAGUAUUUAAUUGUUUUAAAUGUUAAAUGUUACUCCAAUCUAAUUUACUGCCUAGCUGUGUUUAAAUCAAUAUAGUCAGCUUUAUUUACAAUAAAAGCUGUGGUUAUUUGCAGAUAAAUACUAUUAUAAAAUGCUUUUUACUUUGGCUUUUUUCCCCAUGUGUUUUGUGCUCUCUUUGACUAUUUACAGUUUUCACAAAUCUCAAUGAGAUUUUGUCCUUUUGUGUUUACACCUUUAGGCCUCUUCAUUUUCAAUUUCAUAAUAUUCAUCUUAUUCAACAAUCAUGACCACAUUUAGUGCUUCAGGCUUUUAAAGUCUAUUGUCAAUAUUAACGAUCAACAAAAAAAGUCUAACCAAAUUACACUUUUCUUAUAAGUGACUUAUUAAAGUAACUUUCUGAAGUUUACUUGCUAUAGUCAAUUGUAAUCACACACACACAAUAUUAAUCAACUGUUACUUUGCUUGAUUAACCUAAUAAUGCGAGAUGAAAUUGGUGACAAUCCAUUUGCAUUGUUGAUCCAGGACACGAAGAAAAAAUGAUGUUAACAUAAAAUGGAUUGCUGUCUUGACAUGUCCUGUGCUUACAUGGGGCUGUAUACUUUGAUCAUCAUCAAGAUUGAAUCUCUCCAAGGAUUAGUUGAAUAUUAAUGUGAAUAUAAUGAUAAAGAUGAUGAUGAUAUAAACUGGCAAAUGUUCAGUCAUCCAUUAUUUAUCAAUGAUUGGAGCUCCAACUAUACAGAGGCUUUCUAUAUAUUUUACUGAUCACUUACCAGUUCUGACUACCAAUGCUUUAACAUGGAUCUUAUCAGAUGAUUGAACAUGAAUAAUUUCCGUUCCACAAAACAAGGUAUUCUUCUUAUGAGUAUUGGGUGAAUAAAGUACAUUUGGAUCAUCAGUUAGAGCAACUUUACUGAUAGGCUCGCUUUCACCGGUUAACAUGCUUUCAUCUACCGUACAAGAGCCAGAUAUAAGGACUGCGUCACACUCGAUGACAAACGAACAGUUGGGUGCAAGGAUAAUUAUAUCACCAGGAACCAGUUCAGUGGAUGAUUUAGAAGUCAUGAUGCCCUCACGGAGAACCACCACUUCAGAUUCUGAAUGAACUUUUUGACGAAGUGCAAUGCUUUGCUUGGUUUAAAGAGAAAUGCAGGACAAAAGAUAGAGGAUGAAAUGAAAUUUCCAAGAAAAAGAGGAGAAAGAAAAGAAAAAUCAAAAUUAACAAUUACCAAUUGUCGAGAUUAGUUGAUAAAUUGCUGAAUUUCAAGUGUUUAUGCAAUUCAAAUUGGCUAUUUGAUUUCAGGAAAACAUCAGACAAGAAUCAAUCCAAAUUGAACCAAAUGAUACACCAAUUGACCGUAAAUAACGUGAAAUUUCAAGAAGGAUUAAUUCAACUUUCCAUGAUUAACUUUCACCAUUUUCAAUGUGACCUGUUCAAUUAACUUUUGUUAAUUUAAUUCAGUUAUCCACUAUUAAGUUACCUUUCUUUGCUUUACCAUUCUGACACAUUGAUUAGAUUAUUAAUAAUAUACUGCGAUUCAACCAUUAGUUAUUCAAACAAGCUACAAUUAACUUACCGUUUAAUCAACUCUAUUUCAUCUUCACAAGACAAACAACUCAAAGCCUAACAAAUUAACGGAUUUCAUGUGAAACUGAAUAUUGCUGUGAUAAUGAGCUGACAACAAAAAUCCAUCCAUUUACAGAUACACAGCAAGUGAAUGGCAAAAAUAAAGACCAACGGAAAACAAUUUGAUAGUUGAUGAGUAGUUUGAUUGGACCGCAAAAUUUGAUUGUUACCACAAAAAUAUGGUUAAGACUCAAUAAUGGCAAGCUGAUAGUUAAAUAAAACAGGAUUAACCAUUUGAAAUGGUUAUUGUUAUUAAAUUGUUUUACCUGUUUUAUGUCAAAUAAAGGCAGAGUCAGGAGGAAAAAAAAUGAAAACCAAAAGCUUUAGCAAACUAUUUAAUAGCUUUAAUCAAAUAAAUUAACUACAGUUUAACUACAUUUAGUUUAAUUUAACCUUUUUACCAAACCAAUUUGCAACAAUCAUAAUAAUGAUGUUAACAUUAAACAACCUCAGCAAAAAGACAAAUAGCAGAGUAAAAAGGGUUAAUUUAAUUUUAAUAUUGAAUAAAAAAAGAGCAUUUUUGAUUGUUGCCUUUAUUAUUGGCAUCAUUUGGCUUUUCAAAAGUAAUAAUCACCUUAAUUUGAUUACAUGUUAUUUGUAUCUCAACUUGUUAUUGUUAUCAUUUGUUUAUUUGCUGUUGUUUUUGAGUUUCCGAUUUCGAUUUGAUUAUUUUACCAUUCAUUAUGUUUAAUGGAUCACGUUUAAUACCAAUGAAUGGGUUAAAUCAAUUAACUUGAACAAAAAAAAGAAUGUUCCUUUUAUCAGUUCAUCAUUCAUUCAUUAAUCGUUUGUUUUCCAAAGCAAAUUAUUGUUAAACCUUUACUGGGCGAGUUUUUCCGAGAAUAAAUUGUUCAUUCCAAAUGAA